rnacentral:lncRNA from 1 species
AGAAACCCUGGGCCGGAUUAGUAGGCCGGUUGAGUGGAAAAAAGAAAGAAAAGAAGGUGGGCCGAUCGUGGUUGAGAAAAAGGAGAGAAGGGGAAGCCGGCCCAAGCAAGAAGCUGCCGUAUAGAGGCCCACGCGUCACGGGUUAAAAGUUGGCGGGCCACUUUUCGGCCCAAAGGAAGAUUUCGGCCGUGGGCCCCACGUGUCAGUGAAGAAAAGAGGAAGGAGAAUAGGAGGCCGGAUGGGCCCUAG